AUGGCGCAGCUGGUAGCGCACCUGCAUGGCAUGCAGGGGGUCAGGGGUUCAAGUCCCCUU
rnacentral:tRNA from 1 species